rnacentral:rRNA from 1 species
UACGAAGGGGGCUAGCGUUGCUCGGAAUUACUGGGCGUAAAGGGCGCGUAGGCGGACAGUUUAGUCAGAGGUGAAAGCCCAGGGCUCAACCUUGGAAUUGCCUUUGAUACUGGCUGCCUUGAGUUCGGGAGAGGUGAGUGGAAUGCCGAGUGUAGAGGUGAAAUUCGUAGAUAUUCGGCGGAACACCAGUGGCGAAGGCGACUCACUGGCCCGAUACUGACGCUGAGGCGCGAAAGCGUGGGGAGCAAACAGG